rnacentral:rRNA from 1 species
CCUACGGGAGACUGCAGUGGGGAAUAUUGCACAAUGGGGGAAACCCUGAUGCAGCGAAGUAGCGUGAGUGAAGAAGUAUUUCGGUAUGUAAAGCUCUAUCAGCAGGGAAGAAAAUUACGGUACCUGAGUAAGAAUCCCCGGCUAACUACGUGCCAGCUGCCGUGGGAAUACGGAGGGGGCAAGCGUUAUCCGGAUUUACUGGGUGUAAAGGGAGCGUAGACGGCAGCACAAGUCAGGAGUGAAAUGCCGGGGCUUAACCCCGGAACUGCCUUUGAAACUGUGAAGCUAGAGUGCAGGAGAGGUAAGUGGAAUUCCUAGUGUAGCGGUGAAAUGCGUAGAUAUUAGGAAGAACACCAAUGGCGAAGGCAGCUUACUAGACUGUAACUGACAUUGAGGCUCGAAAGCGUGGGGAGCAAACAGGAUUAGAUACCCCAGUAGUC